ACAUAAUUCUGCUGCAUCCGAUAUUAUCAACCAAUAUUAAGCCCAUUCCGAAGACCAAGAGCUUCAGCCACCAGCGGAGGUAGAAAUUCAAAUAUUUUGACGUCGAGGGGAGCCGACUAAAAGAGUCAAACGAAAUUUUUGUUUUUUUCAUGUAGUUAACAAGUAAAUGCCACGUGUUAGGCGGGCCCUUGGCCCUGUUGGUCACCCUCCACCAUAGGCUCAGCUAUUGCCGCACUGCCAAUGUGGAGGAUGAACGAGGUUGUCGUCGCCAUGAAAAACCUCUGAUCAUCACUUUAUAUGUCUGAUUUUUUUUGUUAC
rnacentral:lncRNA from 1 species